rnacentral:rRNA from 1 species
AUACGGAGGAUGCGAGCGUUAUCCGGAUUUAUUGGGUUUAAAGGGUGCGCAGGCGGGCGAUUAAGUCAGCGGUGAAAGGCUCGGGCUCAACCGGAGCAGUGCCGUUGAUACUGGUUGUCUUGAAUGCGGUCAAGGCCGGCGGAAUGUGGCGUGUAGCGGUGAAAUGCAUAGAUAUGCCACAGGACACCGAUAGCGAAGGCAGCUGGCCGGGCCUGCAUUGACGCUUAGGCACGAAAGCGUGGGGAUCGAACAGGAUUAGAUACCCUGGUAGUCCACGCUGUAAACGAUGGACACUCGUUGUCGGCGACAGACAGUCGGCGGCCAAGCGAAAGUGAUAAGUGUCCCACCUGGGGAGUACGGUCGCAAGGCUGAGACUCAAAUGAAUUGACGGGG